UUCUGUAAGUGUCCGACUUCAAAGGUCUUUUUUGACCCCUCCCCUUACUGCAGCCGCCUAUUCUCGCCUACAUUUCAGGCGAGGCAAGGAGCAUCUCAAACAAACCUAUUGUGUGCGAAGCCUGCAUUUACCGCUUCAAGGGUACAAAGGAGGCGCUGCUGAGCACACAACAGAGCAUUAAAAUGCUGAAUGGGACGGCCUACGGACUCGUAGACUCGGCGAGCAUGCGCAAUUUAAGUCCACAAGACCGAAAGUCCACAUGAAGUGCGCCAUUUGGGACAGGGCCACAGCCGCCUCGCCAUCGCGAGAGUUUUUUUGCACAGAAUUGCUCGUUUUUGUUUUUAUGAUUUACUCAUAAUGGAGGAGACGGUGAUGAACCUCAGAUUUAGCCAAGACCGAGUCCAGAGCAGACCCCUGUACUGCAGCAUAAAGCUGAAUGUGGCAGCGCUGGACAGGUGUUGAAUGGUUUUGUUCUGAGCAGGGAGACCCUGACAGUGCUGCUGGAUCUACUGGGAAGUGAACGGCAACAGUGAUGGUGUGCCAUGAUCCAGACCCUGGUGUUUCUCUUCUGUCUGCCAGCGGUACAUCAUACAGAUGAUCUCCAGAGUGUUUGACAUGUCCCUCGUUCCACUGUCACCGCAUUGUCCUCCUAGUCUCUGAGGAGGUGCUGGCCAUUCACCAAGAGAUUCACCUCCUGAAGACCCCAGAACACACGGAGGCAGGGCCGGGCUCAAACUGAUGUUGUUUUGCUGAUGUUAAACCUAAGCUAUGUUGUAAAUGAUUGUAAAAACUACUUUCUAUUAUGUAUAGAACAAUUUGUUUUAAUGUGUAAAAAAGUAUUUACAGGACAAACAAAUAAACAUAUAAAAGAACGUUUUGUGAAAAAAAUUAUAAACUACAUGAAAAAAAAAUUAAUGUACAUAAGCACUUUUCUUUUAUUUACACGUGAAUAUGCAAAACAAAAAUACAAAAUGUACAGAAAGUACUCAGGCUUAUUUACGAAUAAAUUACACACACAAAAAAUGAUUAAUGUAUACAAUUUAUACAUUUCAUUUUUAACUUGCAUCACAAAAAUAAACUACAGAAAUUAGGUUGUUUCAUUGACAAUAUGACAUUUAAAAAAUAUAUUGGAAAAACUGUAAUGUACUCUGUUUUCUCUUGGCUAAUGAAGAAUGUAUUUGUUUGAGUUUGAUGUCCUCCCUGUCCACUCGCUCCCUCACCUGUCUCAGGACACUUCACAAAUAAACCAUGCCUGUUAACAACAAAAACACAUGCUCACUUUCUCCAGAAUAGUAUUAAAAAAAAUGGAAACACUUAUGAAAAAAGACAGGUUUGCAAUCUUAACAUUAGAAAAUAUGACACAGCAGGACAUGCAUACAAAAUACUGAAGUGCUAAAGUUUGGUUAAAACAUUUGUAGACAUCUCUUGCAUGACAGCACUUCAAAAACACAACAAAGGGAAAGACCAUUGCCUUAUAUAGUGGCUGUCUUAUUGUUUGUGGGCUUUAUGUAAAAAAAAAGCCUGGCUUUAAACAUUUUCGCUAGGUAUUUGAGUAGAUGAAAACACAAUACUUACAUUUCAAUGUGAAGUCCU
ensembl:lncRNA